rnacentral:rRNA from 1 species
GAUGAACGCUGGCGGCGUGCUUAACACAUGCAAGUCGAACGAAGCACUUUAUUUGAUUUCCUUCGGGACUGAUUAUUUUGUGACUGAGUGGCGGACGGGUGGGUAACGCGUGGGUAACCUGCCUUGUACAGGGGGAUAACAGUUGGAAACGGCUGCUAAUACCGCAUAAGCGCACAGCAUCGCAUGAUGCAGUGUGAAAAACUCCGGUGGUAUAAGAUGGACCCGCGUUGGAUUAGCUAGUUGGUGAGGUAACGGCCCACCAAGGCGACGAUCCAUAGCCGACCUGAGAGGGUGACCGGCCACAUUGGGACUGAGACACGGCCCAAACUCCUACGGGAGGCAGCAGUGGGGAAUAUUGCACAAUGGGCGAAAGCCUGAUGCAGCGACGCCGCGUGAGCGAAGAAGUAUUUCGGUAUGAAAAGCUCUAUCAGCAGGGAAGAUAAUGACGGUACCUGACUAAGAAGCACCGGCUAAAUACGUG